GUUCUCUUCAAGUGCGCCAAUGAGUAUGCGGCACCUGAAGACCGUACAGUUAGGUUAGAAACGCCUUGAAGACAGUGUCCUUCGUCAGGGAGGCAGGCCUUACGCCAGGGUGGGAGGGACAUUUACCUGGUGUGUAAAUUGUGAGGAAAGCGUUGGGGGUCUGAGACAGGAAAGCCACAACAUGGGAUGUGAUGUUCCAGCUUUGAAGGGGAACAAAGGCCCUGAGCUAAUCCCAGUGAAAGCCAGGAGCGUGGAGAAGGCAACAAAGACUUGCAGCCUGCGGUCACCGAUUCCCUAUUAGAAAUCCAGCAGAGAAGACAUCAACCAGCAAAUGAAUCUCCUCUAGAAUCUGGGAAAGAUAAUUGAGAAUCCUCCACUAAUGCAACUGAUUAGCAAAGAUCAUCUUACAGAAUGAGCACAAAGACACAACAUGGCUGCCCUCAAGAUGACCUAUUGCUUUCAAGUUGCUUGAACACAUCAGAAUUUCCAUUGUUAAGGUUGAUUAAUUGAAACUGAUAAGUUACCAUGAAUAAAGAUUGUUUUUCUGUUUAA
ensembl:lncRNA